AACGAACGCUGGCGGCAUGCCUAACACAUGCAAGUCGAACGAGACCUUCGGGUCUAGUGGCGCACGGGUGCGUAAUGCGUGGGAAUCUGCCCUUGGGUUCGGAAUAACAGUUAGAAAUGACUGCUAAUACCGGAUGAUGACGUAAGUCCAAAGAUUUAUCGCCCAAGGAUGAGCCCGCGUAGGAUUAGCUUGUUGGUGAGGUAAAAGCUCACCAAGGCGACGAUCCUUAGCUGGUCUGAGAGGAUGAUCAGCCACACUGGGACUGAGACACGGCCCAGACUCCUACGGGAGGCAGCAGUGGGGAAUAUGGGACAAUGGGCGAAAGCCUGAUCCAGCAAUGCCGCGUGAGUGAUGAAGGCCUUAGGGUUGUAAAGCUCUUUUACCCGGGAUGAUAAUGACAGUACCGGGAGAAUAAGCCCCGGCUAACUCCGUGCCAGCAGCCGCCGUAACAC
rnacentral:rRNA from 1 species